rnacentral:lncRNA from 1 species
UCCUGGUAGUGCAGUUCCUGAGAAAAAUGUGACGAAAAAUUUUCAACUUGGCUAUCAGGUGUAAAAAUGAUACAAGUGUUCGGUAAACAGGAAGUUGUCGAGUGAUGAAUCUGAAAACGCAUCACACGAUAUAGGUGACUUAUAUCAAGUCUGAAACCAAAUAUCAGGAAUCCUGGUAGUGCAGUUCAUGAGAAAAAUGUGACGAAAAUUUUUCAACUUGGCUAUCAGGUGUAAAAAUGUAAAAUGGUAAGUGUUCGGUAAACAGGAAGUUGUCGAGUGAUGAAUCUGAAAACGCAUCACACGGUAUAGCUGACUUAUAUCAAGUCUGAAACCAAAUAUCAGAAAUCCUGGUAGUGUAGUUCCUGAGAAAAAUGUGACGAAAAAUUUUCAACUUGGCUAUCAGGUGUAAAAAUGAUACAAGUGUUCGGUAAACAGGAAGUUGUCGAGUGAUGAAUCUGAAAACGCAUCACACAGUAUAGCUGACUUAUAUCAAGCCUGAAACCAAAUUUCAGAAAUC